rnacentral:rRNA from 1 species
GACGUAGGGCGCGAGCGUUGUCCGGAUUUAUUGGGCGUAAAGAGCUCGUAGGCGGCUUGUCGCGUCGGUCGUGAAAACCUGCGGCUCAACUGCAGGCUUGCGGUCGAUACGGGCAGGCUGGAGUUCGGUAGGGGAGACUGGAAUUCCUGGUGUAGCGGUGAAAUGCGCAGAUAUCAGGAGGAACACCGGUGGCGAAGGCGGGUCUCUGGGCCGAUACUGACGCUGAGGAGCGAAAGCGUGGGGAGCGAACAGG